rnacentral:sRNA from 1 species
CCUGCGCCAGGGACCGAAGCGGAAAUCCUUUCUCGUUAUGAGAAAGAUUGUAGCGAAGGGCCCGGUCCCUA